ACAAAGCCUUCGGGACUUAGCCCGGACAUCAUUCAAAUAACCAUGCACAUUUAACAAUAAAUCAUGGCACAUUCGUAUUUCGUUUUCGUUAGCAAAACUCAAACACAAGACACUUAUCAUUCUUGCAAUUUCGGCUCAAUAGCCACACACAAGGAGCAUGAUUUUGAUUUGCUUAAAACAUGAUCUAAUCAAAUCUUAAUUUAAGCUCUUUUACUCAAGAACUUACCUCGGAUGUUGUCGAACGAUUCCGAUAGCUAUUCGACCACUUUUUC
rnacentral:lncRNA from 1 species